UACAUGGUUCAGUCAUAAAGCCUCUCUGGGC
rnacentral:piRNA from 1 species